rnacentral:rRNA from 1 species
GAUGAACGCUGGCGGCGUGCCUAAUACAUGCAAGUCGAGCGAACAGAUGAGGAGCUUGCUCCUCUGACGUUAGCGGCGGACGGGUGAGUAACACGUGGAUAACCUACCUAUAAGACUGGGAUAACUUCGGGAAACCGGAGCUAAUCCCGGAUGAUAUAUUGAACCGCAUGGUUCAAUAGUGAGAGACGGUUUUUCUGUCACUUCUAGAUGGAUCCGCGCCGCAUUAGCUAGUAGGUAAGGUAACGGCUUACCAAGGCUACGAUGCGUGGCCGACCUGAGAGGGUGAUCGGCCACACUGGAAGGGAGACACGGACCAGACUCCUACGGGAGGCAGCAGUAGGGAAUCUGCCGCAAUGGGCGAAAGCCUGACGGAGCAACGCCGCGUGUGUGAUGAAGGUCUUCGGAUCGUAAAACUCUGUUAUUAGGGAAGAACAAAUGUGUAAGGAACCAUGCACGUCUUGACGGUACCUAAUCAGAAAGCCACGGCUAACUACGUG